rnacentral:rRNA from 1 species
AACGCUGGCGGCAUGCUUUACACAUGCAAGUCGGACGGCAGCACAGAGAAGCUUGCUUCUCGGGUGGCGAGUGGCGAACGGGUGAGUAACAUAUCGGAACGUACCGAGUAGUGGGGGAUAACUGAUCGAAAGAUCAGCUAAUACCGCAUACGUCUUGAGAGAGAAAGCAGGGGACCUUCGGGCCUUGCGCUAUUCGAGCGGCCGAUAUCUGAUUAGCURGUUGGUGGGGUAAAGGCCUACCAAGGCGACGAUCAGUAGCGGGUCUGAGAGGAUGAUCCGCCACACUGGGACUGAGACACGGCCCAGACUCCUACGGGAGGCAGCAGUGGGGAAUUUUGGACAAUGGGCGCAAGCCUGAUCCAGCCAUGCCGCGUGUCUGAAGAAGGCCUUCGGGUUGUAAAGGACUUUUGUCAGGGAAGAAAAGGCUGUUGCUAAUAUCAGCGGCUGAUGACGGUACCUGAAGAAUAAGCACCGGUCUAUACCUAAC